rnacentral:lncRNA from 1 species
GGUUCAAGAUAUAUGAUAUUUAAGGUGGUAUACUCUCAAGACAAGUAGCCUUGACAUUGCACAUAAUAUAUCUAAGAAAGGGAUUAACUCAUGCAUACAAUGCUCAAUCUCCAUUGUUCUACCCUUUUCCCGAACAUAUAUGAUACACAUUCAUUUUCCCAUUCCAAACCCAACUCACAUCUCUCACCCAAGGACUUCAAAAGCAUUUCCCAACAUAAAACUCUUUUUUUUUUUUACAAGGGAUUUCUUACACUUUUUGAACACCUCUUAGC